ACCUAAAGGGUGAAAAAUAAAUUCAUAUUUUUUCUCCAAAAUUCAACAUGGUAUCAGAAUUAAAGUAAAACUAUUUUUUAGGAUUUAUAAAAAAUCCUAAAAUAGUAAAUAAGCUGAAUAGAAAGAUCCAGAUAAGAAGAGAGGGAGAUUAGAAGAAGAGAAGCUAGAGCAGAGGAAGAAAGAGAGCAGCCAACCUCCACCGUGCGCAGAGCUGCGCGAAGAGAGAGCCUUGAAAUCCGUCUUCUUUAGCCAUGCGCAAAACUGCGUUCACCUCAGGUAAGUUAUUCUUCAGCCACGUUCACCUCAAGUAAGUUCUUUUUCAGUCGCGCGCAGGGACGCGUUAACCCCGAGUCUAUUCUUCUUCAGUUGUGUGCAGAGACGCGUAAAAAAAGAGAUCAACCCAGCUUCUUCUUUCGUGUGCGCAGAGCCGCACGAAGAGCUACAUGAUCUGGCUCUCCUUGCUCCACGCAAAGAGCCGCACAAAGUGCCGAGCAACCAGCUUCUUCUUCAUCAAACGCAGAGCCGCUCAAUAGGAAGCUUUUCUGGCCGUGAUCUCUACUUCACAUAGAUCUGCCUAAGCCGAGAUGGGACUUGAGCCAUUUUUUGAGCGAGUUCGAGCCGUUUUUUAGCCGAGUUUGAGCUAUUUUUUAGCCGAGUUUGAGCUGAUUUUGAGCCAGUUUCGAGUCAUUUUUUGAGCCGAACCCGAGUCGUUUUGAGCUGAACCUGAGCCGUUUUAAGACCAAGCCGAACCGUGCUACUGCUUAACAUAUCUUAUUCUAGUUGGCAACUUAGUCAGUAAGUU
rnacentral:lncRNA from 1 species